UACGUAGGCAGCAAGCGUUGUUCGGAAUUACUGGGCGUAAAGAGUGUGUAGGCGGUGCUCCAAGUCUGGUGUGAAAUCUCCCGGCUUAACUGGGAGGGUGCAUUAGAAACUGGAAUGCUAGAGGAUGGGAGAGGUAAGCGGAAUUCCUGGUGUAGCGGUGAAAUGCGUAGAUAUCAGGAGGAACACCUGUGGUGUAGACAGCUUACUGGACCAUUUCUGACGCCGAGACACGAAAGCGUGGGUAGCAAACAGG
rnacentral:rRNA from 1 species